GCUGAGGCGGCGAGGUAGCAAGCCUCCAAAUUGCCAGCGGAGCGACGCGCUACUUCAUCCUGGCAGCGCAUAGAGACGACAGGCCGCCUGGAUGGAACGAAGGGAGGAGGUAGCUGGUAGCGAGUUCUAUCAGAGAAGCACUCAUGCGAUUAUUCUCAUUCUUCAGGUAAGUCAUGGAAAAAAAUCAGACGGGUCUUUUUCUUCUCAAGUCAGACCCCUCUCUAAGCCUGUCACAUGUCAUCACCAAUAUUCAGGCAAUAUGAGUCUUCUUCUUCAAUAUUCAGGCAAUAUGGGCCGUCUUCUUCUCCAAACCAUCUUCCCCGAAUCGAGCUGAUUCCUGAUAAACUAUCUUGCAAGAUGGUGGAACGAAUUUGAAGUCUUUAUUUAUUGUCGACACCCAUCAGCCAUCGUCUGCAGGUGUCGUCCGUGUUUGCCGGGACAGGUCUGCAGCCCUAGAUGUCUCCUCCCCUCUCCAAGUCUCCAUACCAGGUUCUCCCUGCAGCCUCUUCGUCGCAGAGUCUGUUUUGAUUCUGCCCCACCAUCCUGUUUUUGCAGUCUGGUUCUUAAAUUCAGAGAUUUAAAAUUUUAAAAAUUGUUGUACGUAGAACUACAUCAGUUGUCUGUCUUGGAAAUUUCAUGUAUUGGCUGAUGCAAAGCUUGAAUUAUAUAUAUUGUGUUCUAGAUACUAAAGCUUGAUACGAUUUGACUAUUGUAUUGAGGUUUUGCACUUAAACUGUACAUUAUUUUAGAGAAAGAUGAAUGGUUGUAUCUCCAGCAUGCUGGAUGAUAGCUUACUGAGUUGGAUAUUUAACCUCUGUGGUCAUGUUAAC
rnacentral:lncRNA from 1 species